UUACGGUCAUAUAACAUUGACAUUACAGUUUCCCGUACGAUCACCGAAAUUAAGCAACGUCGAGACUGGUCAGUACCUUGAUGGGUGACCAUUUGGAAAUAUCAGGUGCUGUAA